UACGAAGGGGGCUAGCGUUGCUCGGAAUUACUGGGCGUAAAGGGCGCGUAGGCGGCUAGUUUAGUCAGAGGUGAAAGCCCAGGGCUCAACCUUGGAAUUGCCUUUGAUACUGGCUAUCUUGAGUUCGGGAGAGGUGAGUGGAAUGCCGAGUGUAGAGGUGAAAUUCGUAGAUAUUCGGAAGAACACCAGUGGCGAAGGCGGCUCACUGGACUGGUAUUGACGCUGAGGUGCGAAAGCGUGGGGAGCAAACAGG
rnacentral:rRNA from 1 species